rnacentral:rRNA from 1 species
CACGUAGGGUGCGAGCGUUGUCCGGAUUUAUUGGGCGUAAAGGGCGCGUAGGCGGCUCUGCACGUCCGUUGUGAAAUCGCCCGGCUCAACUGGGCGGGGUCAGCGGAUACGGCGGAGCUUGAGCAAGCUAGGGGGCAAUGGAAUUCCCGGUGUAGUGGUGGAAUGCGUAGAUAUCGUUUGGAACGCCGAUGGUGAAAACAGGUCGCUGGGGUUGUGCUGACGCUGAGACACGAAAGCCAGGGGAGCGAACGGG